rnacentral:rRNA from 1 species
UCGAGCGAACGGACGAGAAGCUUGCUUCUCUGAUGUUAGCGGCGGACGGGUGAGUAACACGUGGAUAACCUACCUAUAAGACUGGGAUAACUUCGGGAAACCGGAGCUAAUACCGGAUAAUAUUUUGAACCGCAUGGUUCAAAAGUGAAAGACGGUCUUGCUGUCACUUAUAGAUGGAUCCGCGCUGCAUUAGCUAGUUGGUAAGGUAACGGCUUACCAAGGCAACGAUGCAUAGCCGACCUGAGAGGGUGAUCGGCCACACUGGAACUGGGACACGGUCCAGACUCCUACGGGAGGCAGCAGUAGGGAAUCUUCCGCAAUGGGCGAAAGCCUGACGGAGCAACGCCGCGUGAGUGAUGAAGGUCUUCGGACCGUAAAACUCUGUUAUUAGGGAAGAACAUAUGUGUAAGUAACUGUGCACAUCUUGACGGUACCUAAUCAGAAAGCCACGGCUAACUACGUGCCAGCAGCCGCGGUAAUACGUAGGUGGCAAGCGUUAUCCGGAAUUAUUGGGCGUAAAGCGCGCGUAGGCGGUUUUUUAAGUCUGAUGUGAAAGCCCACGGCUCAACCGUGGAGGGUCAUUGGAAACUGGAAAACUUGAGUGCAGAAGAGGAAAGUGGAAUUCCAUGUGUAGCGGUGAAAUGCGCAGAGAUAUGGAGGAACACCAGUGGCGAAGGCGACUUUCUGGUCUGUAACUGACGCUGAUGUGCGAAAGCGUGGGGAUCAAACAGGAUUAG